ACUGUCAGGUGGGCAGUUUGACUGGGGCGGUCGCCUCCCAAAAGGUAACGGAGGCGCUCAAAGGUUCUCUCAGUACGGUCGGAAAUCGUACGUAGAGUGUAAAGGCAAAAGAGAGCUUGAUUGCAAGACAUACAGGUCGAGCAAGGAUGAAAAUCGGACUUAGUGAUCCGGUGGUUCUGCGUGGAAGGGCCAUCGCUCAACGGAUAAAAGCUACCCUGGGGAUAACAGGCUUAUCUCCCCCAAGAGUCCACAUCGACGGGGAGGUUUGGCACCUCGAUGUCGGCUCAUCACAUCCUGGGGCUGUAGUAGGUCCCAAGGGUUGGGCUGUUCGCCCAUUAAAGUGGUACGCGAGCUGGGUUCAGAACGUCGUGAGACAGUUCGGUCCCUAUCCGUCGCAGGCGUAGGAAAUUUGAGAAGACCUGUCCUUAGUACGAGAGGACCGGGAUGGACG
rnacentral:rRNA from 1 species